rnacentral:rRNA from 1 species
ACAUCGGAGAGGGAGCUUUACAGAUGGCUACCACUUCUACGGAAGGCAGCAGGCGCGUAAAUUACCCACUUUCGACGUGAAGAGGUAGUGACGACAAAUAACUCUCGAGGUGGUUAACUCCACUUCUUGAAGGAAUGAGUAAGAAGUAAAUACUCUUACGAAAUCAAUUGGAGGGCAAGUCUAGUGCCAGCAGCCGCGGUAAUUCCAGCUCCUAUAGUGUAUAUUAAAGUUGCUGUGAUUAAAACGCUCCUAGUUGAAUAAUAAGGUGGUUUUAAUCAUUUUGAAGGCUUAGCGCAAGCUAAGUUUCUAGGAAUGAGGUAAUGAAACUAACGAAGGAGAUGAAGUGAGUAAUCACUAUAUCAUUACUUUGAAUAAAAUAGGGUGUUUAAAGCAAAACAUUAAGUUAAUGAAUAUUCAAGCAUGGGACAAUGCUGAGGGGAUGUCUUCGGACAUUUCGAGAGAAGGAUUAAAAGGAACAACUGGGGUGAUUCAGAAAAUAACGGGAGAGGUGAAAUUCCAUGAUCGCUAUAAGAUGCACGAGAG